rnacentral:rRNA from 1 species
UACGAAGGUCCCGAGCGUUGUUCGGAAUCACUGGGCGUAAAGGGAGCGUAGGCGGCGUGGUAAGUCAGAUGUGAAAUCCCGGGGCUCAACCCCGGAACUACAUCCGAUACUGCCAUGCUAGAGGAUUGGAGAGGUAGCUGGAAUUCUUGGUGUAGCAGUGAAAUGCGUAGAGAUCAAGAGGAACACUCGUGGCGAAAGCGAGCUACUGGACAAUUCCUGACGCUGAGGCUCGAAGGCUAGGGUAGCGAAAGGG